UUGCACCCCAAUGAUUCUAACCUUUAUUUCUUGCAUCAAACAGAGGACUCAAAUGAUAUCCUGGUCAUCAAGCACCACAAUGAGAAUCAAAGAUCUGAACAUACUCUGACCUCCAACCCGUAUCCUUGUCAUCAAGAUCGUUGCCAAGUCCGAUGUUCAAAAUGCCCCUCAUCGGCCAUAUGCGCUCAUUCGUUCAUAUGUUCCUGCCAAUCCUUUGCCAAGCAAUCAAGUUGCAAGCAUCUUCAUCUAGUUGCCAUGAAGUAUAUGUGUGUAAAUCCAACUCCUGAACAUGAUUAUUGUGGAUCGCGCCAAACCAAUCAGUCAGAAUUGGUUGAGUUCAGCAAUAAUGGAGUCGAUGCUACAUCAUUGAAUUCAAAUGGAGUCGAGGAUUUAAUCGUAAGGCUGAUGAAGAACUUUCCACCUCGAUCGAGCCUGAGGUGUCAUCAGAACAGGGUUUCCAACGGCAAGUGCAGCAAAGUCUAGCGAAGCUCUGCAAUAGGCUGAUUGACCAAGAGAUUGAAUUGGAGGAAAGAAGAGCUAUCCUGGGAAAAAUCGAUUCCGUUACCAAUUCCUCAAAAUCAAUAAAGUCAGCGUUUCCCAAGUUAGAUACCAAGAGGAAGAGGGAGCGUGCCCCUUCGGUGUUUCCACAGCCCAAAAAAAAGGGCCAGCAGAUUAAAGACCGAAUCCAACCCAAGACCUUACAAUUUGGUCUGCUAAAUGAAUGCCUCGAAUCACCAUUGGAUCAAACUUGCUGGAUGUUUGCUGUCUCUUUAAAACAGAGCGAUGUUUGUAAGCAUGCCAGGAAUUGGGUGAGGACGAAAAGCGAUUUCUCAAACUAUAUGAAGAAGCUUGUGAUAUAUGGAAAUGUGGACAAUGCCAGGCCUUUGACAUGGAAAGAAACUUAUCGGUUACAUCCAAUGUAAUUACUGUCUGUUGUGGAUUCAUUGUAUUUGUGCGAAUUUGGAAGAGGACGAAGUUGAUGAAAACGCCGAAUGGAAGUGCUCAAAGUGUGAUACUACCCCAUCCGAUUUGUGAGUCUAACAGUAUUUAAAUUGUUACUGCAAAUAGUUACUUUAUAGUGUGUCCAAUUCUCUUUCAAAUGAAAUAUCAUAUCCUA